rnacentral:rRNA from 1 species
GACAGAGGGGGCAAGCGUUGCUCGGAAUUACUGGGCGUAAAGCGUGCGCAGGCGGUUGGCAAAGUCAGCUGUGAAAGCCCCGGGCUUAACCUGGGAAUGGCGGUUGAAACUAGUCGACUAGAAUCUGGCAGAGGGGGGUGGAAUUCCACGUGUAGCAGUGAAAUGCGUAGAGAUGUGGAGGAACACCAGUGGCGAAGGCGGCUAUCUGGAUCAACACUGACACUGAGGCACAAAAGCGUGGGGAGCAAACAGG